GAUGAAGAACGCAGCGAAAUGCGAUAAGUAAUGUGAAUUGCAGAAUUCAGUGAAUCAUCGAAUCUUUGAACGCACAUUGCGCCCGCCAGUAUUCUGGCGGGCAUGCCUGUUCGAGCGUCAUUACAACCCUCAGGCCCCCGGGCCUGGCGUUGGGGAUCGGCGGAGCCCCCCGUGGGCACACGCCGUCCCCCAAAUACAGUGGCGGUCCCGCCGCAGCUUCCAUCGCGUAGUAGCUAACACCUCGCGACUGGAGCGCGGCGCGGCCACGCCGUAAAACACCCAACUCUUCUGAAGUUGACCUCGAAUCAGGUAGGAAUACCCGCUGAACUUAAGCAUAUCAAUAAGCGGAGGA
rnacentral:misc_RNA from 1 species